GCUUACGGCCAUACCACCCUGAGAACGCCCGAUCUCGUCUGAUCUCGGAAGCUAAGCAGGGUCGGGCCUGGUUAGUCCUUGGAUGGGAGACCUCCUGGGAAUACCAGGUGCUGUAAACU
rnacentral:rRNA from 1 species